rnacentral:rRNA from 1 species
CCUACGGGAGGCAGCAGUGAGGAAUAUUGGUCAAUGGGAGAGAUCCUGAACCAGCCAAGCCGCGUGAGGGAAGACGGCCCUAUGGGUUGUAAACCUCUUUUGUCGGAGCACAAAACCCGGGACGUGUCCCGGACUGCGUGUAUCCGAAGAAAAAGCAUCGGCUAACUCCGUGCCAGCAGCCGCGGUAAUACGGAGGAUGCGAGCGUUAUCCGGAUUUAUUGGGUUUAAAGGGUGCGUAGGCGGUCCGUUAAGUCAGCGGUAAAAUUUCGGGGCUCAACCCCGUCGCGCCGUUGAAACUGGCAGACUUGAGUGGGCGAGAGGUACGCGGAAGGCGCGGUGUAGCGGUGAAAUGCAGAGAUAUCGCGAAGAACUCCGAUUGCGAAGGCAGCGUACUGGCGCCAGACUGACGCUGAGGCACGAAAGCGUGGGGAUCGAACAGGAUGAGAUACCCUAGUAGUC